rnacentral:lncRNA from 1 species
UUAAAUAGCUAAAAUACCAGUUGCAGACAAGAGAACACAAUAAUAAUAAGCAGUUGUGCACAAUAUAAGCAAAGUAUGCAGAGAAUAAGAGCAGCAAGGUGAGAGCAGCAAUGUGCAGCAAAUAGAGAAUGGUAGUGUGCAGCAAAAAAUGCAGCACUGUGCAGCAAAAAGAGCAGCAGGCAAACCCAAGAAAGUAAUGUAGCAGAACCUGACUAGUGCAGAAGUAAACAACCAAGAUUACUCAAUCUUGGAUUUCAGCCGAUUGAGUGAGAGAGUUUUUAGGAAAGAAACAAAAUAGUAGAGAGAUAGAGAGCACUGAGUGUUAUUGAAAGAAAGUUCAGAGAGACUGUAAUGCCUCAGUAUGAGAGAUAUGCAAUGUGUUGGUGUCUUUUAAAGAGAAUGUGGGAGGGUACUUAUAGUACUAAAAGAGUAAACAAAUAAAGUAUCAGUUCAUAUUUAAGGAACUGAUAUCAAUCAUAAUCACACACGCAUAUGACUCCUCUUUAAUUAAAGAGUCAGAGGCACACAGUAAUAAGCAUCCAUUUUAAAAAGGAAAGGAAUCAUAAAGUAUGGCCUGAUCACAUAAGGAAACAAGAAUAGAACCAGGUAUAUAAUAAAGACUAGGUGCAUGAUACUUAACAAAAAAACAUAUCAAUCAAGUAAAUUAGCGUAUUUGUG